rnacentral:rRNA from 1 species
GAUGAACGCUAGCGGCAGGCCUAACACAUGCAAGUCGAGGGGUAACAGAGAAGCUUGCUUCUGCUGACGACCGGCGCACGGGUGCGUAACGCGUAUACAAUCUACCUUUUGCUGAGGAAUAGCCCAGAGAAAUUUGGAUUAAUGCCUCAUAGUAUGUAGACUUCUCAUGGAGAUUACAUUAAAGGUUACGGCAAAAGAUGAGUAUGCGUCCUAUUAGUUUGUUGGUGUGGUAACGGCACACCAAGACUACGAUAGGUAGGGGCCCUGAGAGGGGGAUCCCCCACACUGGUACUGAGACACGGACCAG